UAAUUUGCCAGCUGGAUCAGAGACUUAGUUGCGCUGAAAUUUCCAAAAGAGGCUCGUGGUUAUCCCAAUUUCUGUUCUCUCUCAAUUUCGGUAUUAAUUCUGUUUCAAUCCAUAGAUUUCCAUCCCUCUCAUCGUCCAAAGGAUAUUUGAGUAUUUUGAGGUUGAAAGAUGGAGAGUGGGUUAGGGGAAUCGACAAGUAGGCACCCCCUCAGCCCUUCUUGCUCUAGCAAUAACAAUAACAACAGCGAUGCCGGGAAUUUUGAGUGCAAUAUUUGCUUUGAUUUAGCACAAGACCCUAUUGUCACACUCUGUGGUCACCUCUUUUGCUGGCCUUGCCUUUACAAAUGGCUUCACAUUCACUCUCGGUCCCGGGAAUGUCCGGUCUGUAAAGCUCUUAUUGACGAGGAGAAGUUAGUCCCUCUAUAUGGCCGAGGUAAGAACUCAACUGACCCUCGGUCUAAGUCAAUUCCUGGGAUGGAAAUUCCACAUCGGCCUGCGGGACAGAGGCCUGAAACAGCUCCUCCACCGGAUCCUAAUGCUAAUGCCUUUGCCCAACAAGGAUUUGGAGUUAUGGGAAGCCCCUUCAGGGGUUUUGCACCUAUGGCUACUGCGAGAUUUGGGAACUUCACAUUAUCUGCAGCUCUUGGUGGUCUAUUCCCUUCGUUUUUUAACAUACAAGUGCAUGGAUUUCCUGAUGCCAACAUGUAUGGGGCCGGUCCUGGUUUUCCCUUUGGGCAUUCAAAUGCCUUUCAUGGCGGACAUGCUCAUGGAUUUGCCCAUCGUGGAAAUCACCAGCAGCAGGCAGAUUCUACCUUGAAAUUUCUCCUAUUGGUGAUUGGUUUGAGUGUACUUAUGACUCUAAUUUGGAGUUAAGAUUCAUGAAGUUGCAUAUGUGGAUCUUGCUAAGGUAUAUUUUCUGUGAGUCUUGUAUCAAAUGGCUGAACAAUGGUGAAAUGCUAAAAGGAACGAGGAACAGAAAUUUCUAUAUUUUUGAUCUAAUUUGGAGAUAUCUUGCAGUUUAGUUCACCCUGUAAACCUUUAUGUGGAAAAUUUUCUUAUUGGCAUUGGGCAUUAAGAGUUGCAUAUGUGGGAAAUCCAGAUGCCAUUCCUCUGAAGUGUAUGCAGCUUGGAAGCUUCAAAAUUAAAAGGAUUUUGUUGAUUCUACCUUACUCAUUGUCGGUAACAGAAUGAUCAUUGUUAAAUAAUGUUUCGAGCAUAUUGAUUGGUUUGAUUACUGGGCUCAAGAACAUUGUACUUAUUUCUUUUAGAUCAAUCUUGUCUUCUAUUUUAUCUUCAAAAGGUUGAAUGUUUUUGAUUCGUGGCCAUUAAUAGUAUUAAUAUGAUCAUAAUGGUAGCUACUAAUUACAGCCACGAAUUUUUGGGCUAAACUUGGGAAAUAUUGUUUUGUUAACCAUGCUAAUUUGCUUGAAAUAUUAUUCUGAACUCAUUUGCA